UACGUAGGGGGCUAGCGUUGUCCGGAAUCAUUGGGCGUAAAGCGCGCGUAGGCGGCCCGGUAAGUCCGCUCUGAAAGUCCAGGGCUCAACCCUGGAAUGCGGGUGGAUACUGCCGGGCUAGAGUCCGGAAGAGGCGAGUGGAACUCCUGGUGUAGCGGUGGAAUGCGCAGAUAUCAGGAAGAACACCAACGGCGAAGGCAGCUCGCUGGGACGGAACUGACGCUAAGGCGCGAAAGCGUGGGGAGCGAACAGG
rnacentral:rRNA from 1 species